CCCCAACCCUCGUGAAUAUGCACAAGCACCUGCCUGGCCGCCGGUGAGCUGCACGGUUCUCCUGCUGUGCGGACGUGAUGUGGGACGGUCCUCAUCCAAUGAGCCUGAACAAUCAGGUCGACAGACCUCGCUGCUGAGCUCUGGAGAGCGAAGACUAUCAAGAUUGUGUGUCUCUUUUUUGUGUACUUUGUGCGUUUUUUUUAAUUUUUUUUUUUUCGUUUUUGUAUAAUUUUUUUUUUUAGUGUUUGUUUUCGGGUUGCGAGUCUUUGAACCCGUGGGCGGUGCGGUGGGCGGCGGGCCCCCCCCCCCCUGUAGAGAGGAGAUUCAAAGUCUUCCUCGUUCUUCCUCGAUGGGUGCUCAGUCUUAACUUUUUUUAUAACGUCUAUGAUUCACACCAGUCGACGCUUUUGUGCUAAAAAAUGAUGUCUGGAGGUGCGUUUGUGUAAGGAGUGAGGGCGGGCCGCAAGGGAGGAGCUAGGCGUGCUGAGCUUCCAGGGGUCACCUUCACCCGCUCUGUUUUUAAAGGAGACAUAUUAUACCACCAGAUGUGAGUGUGAUUAGCCUUACAAGCCGUUUCGAAAAUAUGUCCCUUGUGACAUCACUAGUGGACACGCCCACUAGUGAUGUCAUAUGGGGCAGAUUUUCGAAACGGCUUGUAACGGCGCAUCAGAACACACCUGGUGGUAUAUGUCCCCUUCAAAGUGUGAACUCGUAUUGAAGUCUUGUCUGAGAUUGGAAAACUGCACAGAAAAGGUUUGGUAAAUAGGAAAAAAAAAACAUUUUGUUCGGACUCCAAAACGUGGGGCUUUUGUGUUUUAAAACAUUUACACUUCUGUGCUGACUAAUUUCUAAUACGUAAAAGAUUCAAUUGAGAAUUAAUUAUGGCCUGUCUGUCAUUGUGUAGUUGUAUCAGUAUUUUUAUUGUUAAAAAUAGACUUAAAAAAUCCAGUCAUGUAACCAAGUUCAUCUGGAGUUUCACAUGGAAAACAUGGAAGAGGUGGUUUUGCGUGUUUUGUUCUUAUUAAAGUAAUCAUUAACAGUAGCGGCCCUGCUAUUGGCUGUGUUGUCCUGUCACUCACGUUGGGUCCUUGACUCGUCCAAUGUCUGUUACAUCCUCCGCACUCCGUGUCUACGUCAACAUCAUUUCAAACAAGGUUAUUGUGUGUAUGUGGCUAACGGGUGUUUGCAUUCUUGCAAAUACAUUGUUUUAUACUAUACAUUGAGGCGAAGUAAACUUAUUUUUCUAAUAAAGUUAUUAAAUAAAA
ensembl:lncRNA